CGUGCCAGCAGCCGCGGUAAGACGUAGGACGCAAGCGUUAUCCGGAUUUACUGGGCGUAAAGCGCCUGUAGGCGGUCAAGUAAGUCGGAUGUGAAAGCCCCGUGCUCAACGCGGGGAAGCCAUUCGAUACUGCGUGACUAGAGAACGGCAGAGGGAAACGGAAUUUCUGGUGUAGCGGUAAAAUGCGCAGAGAUCAGAAAGAACACCGAUGGCGAAGGCAGUUUCCUAGGCCGCAUCUGACGCUGAGAGGCGAAAGCUAGGGGAGCGAACAGGAUUAGAGACCCUGGUAGUCCUAGCUGUAAACGAUGGAUGCUAGGUGUGGGCCGGAAAGGUCCGUGCCGGAGUUAACGCGAUAAGCAUCCCGCCUGGGGAGUACGGCCGCAAGGCUAAAACUCAAACGAAUUGACGGGGACCCGCACAAGCAGCGGAGCGUGUGGUUUAAUUCGAUGCUACACGCAGAACCUUACCUGGGCUUGACAUGUAGGUGGUAGUGAAGUGAAAGCGGAGCGACCCUUCGGGGAGCCUACACAGGUGCUGCAUGGCUGUCGUCAGCUCGUGCCGUGAGGUGUCGGGUUAAGUCCCGUAACGAGCGCAACCCUUGCCCUUAGUUACAAGUGUCUAAGGAGACUGCCGGUGACAAACCGGAGGAAGGUGGGGAUGACGUCAAGUCAGCAUGGCCCUUAUGUCCAGGGCGACACACACGCUACAAUGGUCGGUACAAUGGGCAGCGCAGCCGCGAGGUGAAGCGAAUCCCAACAAAGCCGAUCCCAGUUCGGAUUGCAGGCUGCAACCCGCCUGCAGAAGCCGGAGUU
rnacentral:rRNA from 1 species